rnacentral:rRNA from 1 species
UACGUAGGUGGCAAGCGUUGUCCGGAAUCACUGGGCGUAAAGCGCGCGCAGGCGGCGAUCUACGUCUGGGGUGAAAGCCCGGAGCUCAACUCCGGGACUGCCUUGGAUACGGGAUCGCUUGAGGAUUGGAGAGGCAAGGGGAAUUCCACGUGUAGCGGUGAAAUGCGUAGAUAUGUGGAGGAACACCUGUGGCGAAGGCGGCAUCCUGGACCGGUAUUGACACUGAGGCGCGAAAGCCAGGGGAGCAAACGGG